UACGUAGGGUCCGAGCGUUGUCCGGAAUUAUUGGGCGUAAAGGGCUCGUAAGCGGUUUGUCGCGUCGGGAGUGAAAACCAGGUGCUUAACACCUGGCCUGCUUUCGAUACGGGCAGACUAGAGGCAUUCAGGGGAGAACGGAAUUCCUGGUGUAGCGGUGAAAUGCGCAGAUAUCAGGAGGAACACCGGUGGCGAAGGCGGUUCUCUGGGAAUGUCCUGACGCUGAGGAGCGAAAGUGUGGGGAGCGAACAGG
rnacentral:rRNA from 1 species